UACAGAGGGGGCAAGCGUUGUUCGGAAUUACUGGGCGUAAAGGGCGCGUAGGCGGCCCGCUAAGUCGAACGUGAAAUCCCCAGGCUCAACCUGGGAACUGCGUCCGAUACUGGCAGGCUUGAAUCCGGGAGAGGGAUGUGGAAUUCCAGGUGUAGCGGUGAAAUGCGUAGAUAUCUGGAGGAACACCGGUGGCGAAGGCGGCAUCCUGGACCGGUGUUGACGCUGAGGCGCGAAAGCUAGGGGAGCAAACGGG
rnacentral:rRNA from 1 species